rnacentral:misc_RNA from 1 species
UACGGAGGGAGCGAGCGUUGUUCGGAAUUACUGGGCGUAAAGGGCGCGUAGGCGGCCGAAUAAGUCGCGUGUGAAAGGCCGGGGCUCAACCCCGAGCAUGGCACGCGAUACUGUCCGGCUGGAGAGAGGUAGAGGCGAGCGGAAUUCCCGGUGUAGCGGUGGAAUGCGUAGAUAUCGGGAAGAACACCCGCGGCGAAGGCGGCUCGCUGGGCCUUUUCUGACGCUGAAGCGCGAAAGCGUGGGGAGCAAACAGG